UGGUGGUCUCAGGUCUAAGGAUCACUUGCACAACUUUCACUUAGAGAACCAUCUUUGACAUGCAAAUAAGGCUUUCAUAAGAUGUUCUCUUUCAUCGAGUCAGUUCAGUGGACUCAUUUCUCAAAUGAGCACCCACAUCCUUGUAUUAGUGUCUCACACAAGUGGCUAGUGAGAUCUGUCACUCUCUCCAUUGAGCAUACAUAGGAUGUACCA
rnacentral:lncRNA from 1 species